AUUGAACGCUGGCGGCAGGCCUAACACAUGCAAGUCGAGCGGAUGAAGGGAGCUUGCUCCUGGAUUCAGCGGCGGACGGGUGAGUAAUGCCUAGGAAUCUGCCUGGUAGUGGGGGAUAACGUCCGGAAACGGGCGCUAAUACCGCAUACGUCCUGAGGGAGAAAGUGGGGGAUCUUCGGACCUCACGCUAUCAGAUGAGCCUAGGUCGGAUUAGCUAGUUGGUGGGGUAAAGGCCUACCAAGGCGACGAUCCGUAACUGGUCUGAGAGGAUGAUCAGUCACACUGGAACUGAGACACGGUCCAGACUACUACGGGAGGCAGGAGUAGGGAAUAUUGGAAUAUGGGCGAAAGCCUGAUCCAGCCAUGCCGCGUGUGUGAAGAAGGUCUUCGGAUUGUAAAGCACUUUAAGUUGGGAGGAAGGGCAGUAAGUUAAUACCUUGCUGUUUUGACGUUACCAACAGAAUAAGCACCGGCUAACUUCGUG
rnacentral:rRNA from 1 species